rnacentral:rRNA from 1 species
GACGAACGCUGGCGGCGUGCUUAACACAUGCAAGUCGAACGGUGAAGCGCCUUCCUUUUUGGUGGGUGUGGAUGAGUGGCGAACGGGUGAGUAACACGUGAGUAACCUGCCCCCUCCUUCUGGAUAACCGCAUGAAAGUGUGGCUAAUACGGGAUAUUCUGGGUCUGUCGCAUGAUGGGUCUGGGAAAGAUAUUGUUUCGGUGGGGGAUGGGCUCGCGGCCUAUCAGCUUGUUGGUGGGGUGAUGGCCUACCAAGGCGGUGACGGGUAGCCGGCCUGAGAGGGUGGACGGUCACACUGGGACUGAGACACGGCCCAGACUCCUACGGGAGGCAGCAGUGGGGAAUAUUGCACAAUGGGCGCAAGCCUGAUGCAGCGACGCCGCGUGAGGGAUGGAGGCCUUCGGGUUGUGAACCUCUUUCGCCAGUGAAGCAGGCCUGCCUCGUUUGUGGGUGGGUUGACGGUAGCUGGAUAAGAAGCGCCGGCUAACUACGU